rnacentral:tRNA from 1 species
GCCCGUGUGGCAUAGUGGUUAGAGCAUUGGACUAUGAUUCUGGAGACUAGGGUUUGAAUCCCCACUCAGCCA